rnacentral:rRNA from 1 species
AACGAACGCUGGCGGCAUGCCUAACACAUGCAAGUCGAACGAGACCUUCGGGUCUAUUGGCGCACGGGUGCGUAACGCGUGGGAACCUGCCCUUAGGUUCGGAAUAACUCCCCGAAAGGGGUGCUAAUUCCGGAUAAUGUCUUCGGACCAAAGAUUUAUCGCCUUUGGAUGGGCCCGCGUUGGAUUAGCUAGUUGGUAGGGUAAAAGCCUACCAAGGCGACGAUCCAUAGCUGGUCUGAGAGGAUGAUCAGCCACACUGGGACUGAGACACGGCCCAGACUCCUACGGGAGGCAGCAGUGGGGAAUAGUGGACAAUGGGCGAAAGCAUGAUCCAGCAAUGCCGCGUGAGUGAUGAAGGCCUUAGGGUUGUAAAGCUCUUUUACCCGGGAUGAUAAUGACAGUACCGGGAGAAUAAGCUCCGGCUAACUCCGUG